rnacentral:rRNA from 1 species
UACGUAGGGUGCAGGCGUUAUCCGGAUUUAUUGGGUUUAAAGGGUGCGUAGGCGGCCUAUUAAGUCAGGGGCGAAAGACGGUAGCUCAACUAUCGCAGUGCCUUUGAUACUGAUGGGCUUGAAUAUACUAGAGGUAGGCGGAAUGUGACAAGUAGCGGUGAAAUGCAUAGAUAUGUCACAGAACACCGAUUGCGAAGGCAGCUUACUAUGGUAUUAUUGACGCUGAGGCACGAAAGCGUGGGGAUCAAACAGG